rnacentral:rRNA from 1 species
CAGUAGCCGCGGUAAUACGAAGGUCCCGAGCGUUGUUCGGAAUCACUGGGCGUAAAGGGAGCGUAGGCGGCGUGGUAAGUCAGAUGUGAAAUCCCGGGGCUCAACCCCGGAACUGCAUCCGAUACUGCCAUGCUAGAGGACUGGAGAGGUAGCUGGAAUUCUUGGUGUAGCAGUGAAAUGCGUGGAGAUCAAGAGGAACACUCGUGGCGAAAGCGAGCUACUGGACAAUAACUGACGCUGAGGCUCGAAGGCCAGGGUAGCGAAAGGGAUUAGAUACCCGUGUAGUCCCUGUCUCUUAUAC